rnacentral:rRNA from 1 species
CAGUCGCUGGGUGUAGACCCGAAACCAAGUGAUCUAUCCAUGGCCAGGAUGAAGGUGCCGUAACAGGUACUGGAGGUCCGAACCGACUAGUGUUGCAAAACUAGCGGAUGAGCUGUGGAUAGGGGUGAAAGGCUAAACAAACUUGGAAAUAGCUGGUUCUCUCCGAAAACUAUUUAGGUAGUGCCUCAAGUAUUACCAUCGGGGGUAGAGCACUGUUUUGGCUAGGGGGUCAUGGCGACUUACCAAACCAAGGCAAACUCCGAAUACCGAUGAGUACAGCUUGGGAGACAGAGCACCGGGUGCUAACGUCCGGACUCAAGAGGGAAACAACCCAGACCGCCAGCUAAGGUCCCUAAAAUUGGCUAAGUGGGAAACGAAGUGGGAAGGCUAAAACAGUCAGGAUGUUGGCUUAGAAGCAGCCAUCAUUUAAAGAAAGCGUAAUAGCUCACUGAUCGAGUCGUCCUGCGCGGAAGAUGUAACGGGGCUAAGCCAGUUACCGAAGCUGCGGAUUUGCAAUUUAUUGCAAGUGGUAGGAGAGCGUUCUGUAAGCCUGUGAAGGUGCGUUGUAAAGCGUGCUGGAGGUAUCAGAAGUGCGAAUGCUGACAUGAGUAGCGUUAAAGGGGGUGAAAAGCCCCCUCGCCGUAAGCGCAAGGUUUUCUACGCAACGUUCAUCGGCGUAGAGUGAGUCGGCCCCUAAGGCGAGGCAGAGAUGCGUAGCUGAUGGGAAACAGGUCAAUAUUCCUGUACCGAUAUAUAGUGCGAUGUGGGGACGGAUCUUAAUAGGUCAUCCGGGUGUUGGAUAUCCCGGUUUAGUUGGAUGUAGGCGUGCAUUAGGCAAAUCCGGUGCACAUAUACCGAGGCCAACGAUCGAGCCAGCUUGCUGGUGAAGUGACUGAACGAGGUUCCAGGAAAAGCCACUAAGCUUCAGCUAUAUACGACCGUACCGCAAACCGACACUGGUGCGCGAGAUGAGUAUUCUAAGGCGCUUGAGAGAACUCAGGAGAAGGAACUCGGCAAAUUGACACCGUAACUUCGGAAGAAGGUGUGCCCUAUUAGUGUGAAGUGAACAACGGAGCAUGAAUGGGUUGCAAAAAAUCGGUGGCUGCGACUGUUUAUUAAAAACACAGCACUCUGCAAACACGAAAGUGGACGUAUAGGGUGUGACGCCUGCCCGGUGCUGGAAGAUUAAAUGAUGGGGUGCAAGCUCUUGAUUGAAGUCCCAGUAAACGGCGGCCGUAACUAUAACGGUCCUAAGGUAGCGAAAUUCCUUGUCGGGUAAGUUCCGACCUGCACGAAUGGCGUAACGAUGGCCACACUGUCUCCUCC